UCUGAAGGCAGCAGAACAGAGCAGGACUGAAGGCCACCAAGGGGAUUUCAACUCUUCAGAAAAAUAAAUGACUCACCUUCGCACAAAGAGCAAGAAUCACAGAGGUCAGAUUGUCUCCUCCUGCCCAUCAGGGACAGAGUCCCCGAUCUUUGGCUUGCUCCAUCUGGCAGUUACCAAGAUAUAAGCAGUUUGCCCCAUCCCACAUCAACAACAUGAUAUGCUGUUUUAUGAAUGUCACAGGACCAAGUCACCAUGAAUUGGAGCCUCUGAGACGCUGAGUUAAAAUGAAACUUUCUGCUGUAUCCAGUUCCAGUUCGGUGGACAUCAGGCCUGACUGCUCCCCUCUGAGCUUGCUCAUGUCUCUACUGAGCACUGCACCCAGGAAG